rnacentral:rRNA from 1 species
AUUGAACGCUGGCGGCAGGCCUAACACAUGCAAGUCGAGCGGAUGAAGGGAGCUUGCUCCUGGAUUCAGCGGCGGACGGGUGAGUAAUGCCUAGGAAUCUGCCUGGUAGUGGGGGAUAACGUCUGGACACGGGCGCUAAUACCGCAUACGUCCUGAGGGAGAAAGUGGGGGAUCUUCGGACCUCACGCUAUCAGAUGAGCCUAGGUCGGAUUAGCUAGUUGGUGGGGUAAAGGCCUACCAAGGCGACGAUCCGUAACUGGUCUGAGAGGAUGAUCAGUCACACUGGAACUGAGACACGGUCCAGACUCCUACGGGAGGCAGCAGUGGGGAAUAUUGGACAAUGGGCGAAAGCCUGAUCCAGCCAUGCCGCGUGUGUGAAGAAGGUCUUCGGAUUGUAAAGCACUUUUAGUGGGGAGGAAGGGCAGUAAGUUAAUACCUUGCUGUUUUGACGGUACCAACAGAAUAAGCACCGGCUAACUUCGUG